rnacentral:rRNA from 1 species
GCCAGACUCCUACGGGAGGCAGCAGUGGGGAAUAUUGCACAAUGGGGGAAACCCUGAUGCAGCGACGCCGCGUGAGCGAUGAAGUAUUUCGGUAUGUAAAGCUCUAUCAGCAGGGAAGAAGAUGACGGUACCUGACUAAGAAGCCCCGGCUAACUACGUGCCAGCAGCCGCGGUAAUACGUAGGGGGCAAGCGUUAUCCGGAUUUACUGGGUGUAAAGGGAGCGUAGACGGCGAUGCAAGCCAGAUGUGAAAGGCCGGGGCUCAACCCCGGGACUGCUCUGGAAACUGCGUCGCUGGAGUACGGGAGGGGCAGGCGGAAUUCCUGGUGUAGCGGUGAAAUGCGUAGAUAUCAGGAGGAACACCGGCGGCGAAGGCGGCCUGCUGGGCCGUGACUGACGUUGAGGCUCGAGAGCGUGGGGAGCAAACAGGAUUAGAUACCCGGGUAUA